GGGAAUUUUGCGCAAUGGGGGAAACCCUGACGCAGCAACGCCGCGUGGAGGAUGAAGUAUCUCGGUACGUAAACUCCUUUCGAUGGGGAAGAUAAUGACGGUACCCAUAGAAGAAGCCCCGGCUAACUUCGUGCCAGCAGCCGCGGUAAUACGAGGGGGGCAAGCGUUGUUCGGAUUUAUUGGGCGUAAAGGGUGCGUAGGCGGUUUGGCAAGUCUUAUGUGAAAUCUAUGGGCUCAACCCAUAGUCUGCAUGAGAAACUACCGGGCUUGAGUGAUGGAGAGGUGAGUGGAAUUUCCGGUGUAGCGGUGAAAUGCGUAGAUAUCGGAAGGAACACCUGUGGCGAAGGCGGCUCACUGGUCCGGAACUGACGCUGAGGUGCGAAAGCGUGGGGAGCAAA
rnacentral:rRNA from 1 species